rnacentral:rRNA from 1 species
CUACGGGUGGCAGCAGUGGGGAAUAUUGCACAAUGGGCGCAAGCCUGAUGCAGCCAUGCCGCGUGUAUGAAGAAGGCCUUCGGGUUGUAAAGUACUUUCAGCGGGGAGGAAGGGAGUAAAGUUAAUACCUUUGCUCAUUGACGUUACCCGCAGAAGAAGCACCGGCUAACUCCGUGCCAGCAGCGCGCGGUAAUACGGAGGGUGCAAGCGUUAAUCGGAAUUACUGGGCGUAAAGCGCACGCAGGCGGUUUGUUAAGUCAGAUGUGAAAUCCCCGGGCGCAACCUGGGAACUGCAUCUGAUACUGGCAAGCUAGAGUCUCGUAGAGGGGGGUAGAAUUCCAGGUGUAGCGGUGAAAUGCGUAGAGAUCCGGAGGAAUACCGGUGGCGAAGGCGGCCCCCUGGACGAAGACUGACGCUCAGGUGCGAAAGCGUGGGGAGCAAACAGGAUUAGAUACCCUGGUAGUC